rnacentral:rRNA from 1 species
GACGUAGGGCGCGAGCGUUGUCCGGAAUUAUUGGGCGUAAAGAGCGCGUAGGCGGUCCGAUAAGUCGGCUGUGAAAGUCAGGGGCUCAACCCUUGGAAGCCGGCCGAUACUGUCGGACUAGAGUCCGGAAGAGGCGAGUGGAAUUCCCGGUGUAGCGGUGAAAUGCGCAGAUAUCGGGAGGAACACCAAUGGCGAAGGCAGCUCGCUGGGACGGUACUGACGCUGAGGCGCGAAAGCGUGGGGAGCAAACAGG